rnacentral:rRNA from 1 species
AUUGAACGCUGGCGGCAGGCCUAACACAUGCAAGUCGAGCGGAGCGGCGGACGGGUGAGUACUGCCUAGGAAUCUGCCUGGUAGUGGGGGAUAACGUCCGGCAACGGGCGCUAAUACCGCAUACUAUCAGAUGAGCCUAGGUCGGAUUAGCUAGUUGGUGGGGUAAAGGCCUACCAAGGCGACGAUCCGUAACUGGUCUGAGGGGAUGAUCAGUCAAACUGGAACUGGGACACGGUCCAGACGCCUACGGGAGGCCGCAGUGAGGAAUAUUGGACAAUGGGCGAAAGCCUGAUCCAGCCAUGCCGGUGGUGUGAAGAAGGUCUUCAGAUUGUAAAGCACUUUAAGUUGGAAGGCGUUACCAACAGAAUAAGCACCGUCUAACUUCGUGCCAGCCGCCGCGGUAAUUC